rnacentral:rRNA from 1 species
GACGAACGCUGGCGGCGUGCUUAACACAUGCAAGUCGAACGGAAAGGCCCUGCUUUUGUGGGGUGCUCGAGUGGCGAACGGGUGAGUAACACGUGAGUAACCUGCCCUUGACUUUGGGAUAACUUCAGGAAACUGGGGCUAAUACCGGAUAGGAGCUCCUGCUGCAUGGUGGGGGUUGGAAAGUUUCGGCGGUUGGGGAUGGACUCGGGGUUUAUGAGCUUGUGGGUGGGGUAGUGGCUUACCAAGGAUUUGACGGGUAGCCGGCCUGGGAGGGUGACCGGCCACAUUGGGACAGAGAUACGGCCCAGACUCCUACGGGAGGCAGGAGUGGGGAAUAUUGCAAAAUGGGCGGAAGCCUGAUGCAGCAACGCCGCGUGCGGGAGGACGGCCUUCGGGUUGUAAACCGCUUUAGCCUGUGACGAAGCGUGAGUGACGGUAAUGGGUAAAGAGGCACCGGCUAACUACGU